rnacentral:misc_RNA from 1 species
GAUGAAGAACGUAGCGAAAUGCGAUACUUGGUGUGAAUUGCAGAAUCCCGUGAACCAUCGAGUCUUUGAACGCAAGUUGCGCCUGAAGCCAUUAGGCCGAGGGCACGCCUGCCUGGGCGUCACACGUCGUUGCCCCCCCAUCUACUCCUUCGGGAUUGCGGGGGGCGGAUGAUGGCCUCCCGUGUGCCUCGCCGCGCGGUUGGCAUAAAUGCCAAGUCCUCGGCGACGCACGCCACGACAAUCGGUGGUUGCGAAACCUCGGUUGCCCGUCGUGUGCGGUCGUCGCGCAUCGAGGGCUCGAAAAAAUUGCCGGGUUCCGGCUCGGCUUUCAACGCGACCCCAGGUCAGGCGGGGUUACCCGCUGAAUUUAAGCAUAUCAAUAAGCGGAGGA